GACGAACGCUGGCGGCGUGCUUAACACAUGCAAGUCGAACGGUGAAGCGCCUUCCUUUUUGGUGGGUGUGGAUGAGUGGCGAACGGGUGAGUAACACGUGAGUAACCUGCCCCCUUCUUCUGGAUAACCGCAUGAAAGUGUGGCUAAUACGGGAUAUUCUGGGUCUGUCGCAUGAUGGGUCUGGGAAAGAUAUUGUUUCGGUGGGGGAUGGGCUCGCAGCCUAUCAGCUUGUUGGUGGGGUGAUGGCCUACCAAGGCGGUGACGGGUAGCCGGCCUGAGAGGGUGGACGGUCACACUGGGACUGAGACACGGCCCAGACUCCUACGGGAGGCAGCAGUGGGGAAUAUUGCACAAUGGGCGCAAGCCUGAUGCAGCGACGCCGCGUGAGGGAUGGAGGCCUUCGGGUUGUGAACCUCUUUCGCCAGUGAAGCAGGCCUGCCUCGUUUGUGGGUGGGUUGACGGUAGCUGGAUAAGAAGCGCCGGCUAACUACGUG
rnacentral:rRNA from 1 species